GGAAUAUUGGACAAUGGGCGCAAGCCUGAUCCAGCCAUGCCGCGUGAGUGAAGAAGGCCUUCGGGUUGUAAAGCUCUUUUGUUGGGGAAGAAAAGCAUUCGAUUAAUACCCGGGUGUUCUGACGGUACCCAAAGAAUAAGCACCGGCUAACUUCGUGCCAGCAGCCGCGGUAAUACGAAGGGUGCAAGCGUUACUCGGAAUUACUGGGCGUAAAGCGUGCGUAGGUGGUUCGUUAAGUCUGAUGUGAAAGCCCUGGGCUCAACCUGGGAACUGCAUUGGAUACUGGCGAUCUGGAGUGCGGUAGAGGGUGGCGGAAUUCCCGGUGUAGCAGUGAAAUGCGUAGAUAUCGGGAGGAACAUCCGUGGCGAAGGCGGCCACCUGGACCAGCACUGACACUGAGGCACGAAAGCGUGGGGAGCAAA
rnacentral:rRNA from 1 species